AUUGAACGCUGGCGGCAGGCCUAACACAUGCAAGUCGAGCGAGCGGCGGACGGGUGAGUAAUGUAUGGGGACUGCCCGAUAGAGGGGGAUAACUAAUGGAAACGGUAGCUAAUACCGCAUACAAUCGAAUAAGCCAUAUGGGAUUAGCUAGUGGGUGAGGUAAUGGCUCACCUAGGCGACGAUCCCUAGCUGGUCUGAGAGGAUGAUCAGCCACACUGGGACUGAGACACGGCCCAGACUCCUACGGAGGCAGCAGUGGGGAAUAUUGGACAAUGGGCGCAAGCCUGAUCCAGCCAUGCCGCGUGUAUGAAGAAGGUCUUAGGAUUGUAAAGUACUUUCAGUCGGGAGGCGUUACCGACAGAAGAAGCACCGGCUAACUCCGUGCCAGCAGCCGCGGUAAUAC
rnacentral:rRNA from 1 species